UGCAGGAACCUGAAGAAAGUUCUGGAACAGAUGAAAAUAAUGUGGAAGAUGGCCGACCACUAACACCUC
rnacentral:lncRNA from 13 species